CCAAUCUCUAGCUUGACUUCUAAUCCAGUUGUUGUACAUUCAGUUAAAAUCUGGAAUCAGAUUAGACGAUCGUUC